UGACACAAAGCUAGCAGUGACUGCCAGGCAGGUGCUGAGCUUCCGAGCAGGGCAAGGUCACGGUCAGCUCCCGGGCCGAGGGGAAGAAAUCAGGCAACAUGCACUUGAACCUCCUGCAGAAGAGCAUCUCCCUGCAAGCUGCCCCGCUGACUCGUAACCGCGUGGUCCGAGGGUUUUCAGCAUCCAGUUCCCAUCUUAAAAACAUUUCCAUUGGAAGCUGAGAUAUUAGGCGGAGCAUAGUGGGUCUAAUGAGGUCCCCUGCCUUCCCAUACUGAAGGGUAGACA